AGGACCCCUUGCUGGUAUUGCUAGUUUCUUGAACCAAAUCAUCCAUUUGAACUAUCAAGGCGUGAGUUCUUCUACUAGGUACUUGUAUCAUGAAUACAUAUGCCCCUUAAAGUUGUCUCAUAUUAACUUUUUGUGUCCCGAUGCAAUUUCUUGUGUCGCAAUGAAGAAGAAUUGUUUAAGCGUUAUUGACUAUAUAAAAGAUGCUUUCUUAAAUGAAAGGAAAAAGGAUGUGCAGUCAAAAUUCUUGUUGGCUCCCUACCAUGAAGGGAAUCAUUGGGUUCUUAUCGUCCUUGAUCUUGUCUUUGGCCUAGCAUACGUGUUUGAUUCGGCCACUCCUCCCCCUCCCGAGACACGGAAGUAAGAAGGGUUCAAUUGUAUACAAAUGGUUAUGUACAAAGAGAAAUGCCAUAUUCUGAUGAGGAGUUAGAAGAAACUCGAGAACAAUGGGCAAAGUAUUUUAAGGACAACUAUUUGAUGGAUGCCCGCGAAUGAGUUUGUUGUCUAGUAAUGUUAUGUUUUAUGUUUUUGUUAUGUGUUGGAUAUGACGUUGGAUGCUACUUGGAGCAUAUAUUUGGUUGUU